GACGUAGGGCGCGAGCGUUGUCCGGAUUUAUUGGGCGUAAAGGGCUCGUAGGCGGCCAACUAAGUCCGACGUGAAAUCCCCAGGCUUAACCUGGGAACUGCGUCGGAUACUGGAUGGCUUGAAUUCGGGAGAGGGAUGCAGAAUUCCAGGUGUAGCGGUGAAAUGCGUAGAUAUCUGGAGGAAUACCGGUGGCGAAGGCGGCAUCCUGGACCGACAUUGACGCUGAUGAGCGAAAGCUAGGGGAGCAAACGGG
rnacentral:rRNA from 1 species